UAGUACAUGGUGUGAUAGGUAGCACAGAGGAUUUUGGAUUCUUGGGGGUAGGUUCGAUUCUUAUAGUUCUAG
rfam:Macaca mulatta chromosome 8, whole genome shotgun sequence.